GGAACAAGGGGGACAUGGUGAUGUAUAGGGACCAAUCAGAGGUCAUAAAGAGGGACACGGUGAUGUAUAGGGACCAAUCAGAGGUCAUCAAGGGGGACAUGGUGAUGUACAGGGACCAAUCAGAGGUCAUCAAGGGGGACACGCUGAUGUAUAGGGACCAAUCAGAGGUCAUCAAGGGGGACAUGGUAAUGUACAGGGACCAAUCAGAGGUCAUCAAGGGGGACGCGGUAAUGUACAGGGACCAAUCAGAAGUCAUCAAGGGGGACAAGGUGAUGUACAGGGACCAAUAAUAGGUUAUCAAGGGGGACAGAGUGAUGCACAGGGACCAAUCA